GCUUACGGCCAUACCACUCUGAACACGCCCGAUCUCGUCUGAUCUCGGAAGCUAAGCAGGGUCGGGCCUGGUUAGUACUUGGAUGGGAGACCGCCUGGGAAUACCAGGUGCUGUAAGCA
ensembl:rRNA 5S_rRNA 5S ribosomal RNA